rnacentral:lncRNA from 1 species
AUUAUAAAUUAUACCUGCAUCAUGUUGGGUUUGUUUGUGCAUUUAUUUUGAAUUUUAAAACUAAGAACUGAUUUGAAUUUGGAAUUGAAAUAAAAAAACAGAAUAAAAAGCAAAAGAAAUAGAUUGCUUACCUGAGAAAUGGGCCGAAUUUCCCCUCCCUUAGCCCAGUCCGGUGCCCUCUCAGACUACCACGCGCUUGCUGGCGAGUCUCUGACAUCGUGGGCCAACCCGUCAGCGUUGUCUUCCCCGAGUAGGACUCCAACAGACCACGUGAUUCCAGGCAACAAAAACAUACCCGAUGCCGCUGCUAUCCCAUAAUAUUCGGGGGGUGCACCGGCCAAACCCACAACGGAAUCCUAGGAGUCUGCCGCUCCCAUGACCCUGCCCAGGUACAUAUAAGAUGGCCCCUGCGCCCUCCCAUAAGCCAUCGGCGAGUAGAAGCACCAGUGAGCGUCGAUUGCUCGGAUUUAGGUGGGGGAUCAGGGGUGUUCAUCGGAGUACAUUGUACUUGGGGCUAGUUUUUUUCAAGCGUCUGGAACAAGCAGUGAAGGCCCGAUGUUUGGUUUGGGAAGGCCCCCUUCCGUGACAAUGGAAUUAGUGCAUGCUACUAGCGUUCGUCUGGAGUCCCAUAUACAAUGGUGGGUUCUGGAAACUGAGGUAAAUCUUUGACUGACCUAGUUUCUAAUUCCAAAUUUUGUGCUCCCACCGCUUCUUGAUCCGUCGGGUGCCAAGGGCCUCUGUUGCGGCAAGUCGGCUGCAGUCCGGGAGCCGGCGGUAGCAGAGGUGAACAACAAAGCUGGGCGUUGGCCUGCCAGCGUCGCCGGUGAGGGUGUCUCAGACGCCCAAGCAGCCCAUGUUGCCCUUCUACUUACCGAGCCGCCCUCACCCUCCAGCUACAAGAGCUCGCCGCCGUACAAACUAAAGGCCGCCGCCGCUCUGUAAUUUAUGGGGAAGAAACGACUCCGUCCAUUGAUCUGGGAGGGACGAUGGGGAUUAGAUCCUAACGUUUUAAAAUCAUGAGCGUCCGAUUCUAAUCGAACGGUUGGGGGAAGUAGCUGAUACCCCUUCGCGGCUCAUGAUCUGGGUCAUCGGAUCUUGAUCCGGUGGUCUAUAUUUCAUACCAGUUCAUAAAGGUUAAAAUCUAAUCGCGACCAUUGGCUUUUGAUCGGACGACCGAGGAUCGCGGAUACCCCUUCAGCCGAGCCAGAUUUACAAAUGAGCCCCCGCAGAAUCUCAUAAUUAACCCUUCAUCCUCGCGGGAGUAGUCUGAGUCUGGUAGAGUUUUAUAAAUUUAACCCUAGGCUCUCUGAUAUUAGUGUCCUCGGUCCAGAACACUUAGGAUAUUCAGAAAUUAAUAAAGAAAUAGGUUUUUAGUAUAAAAAUAAAUCCAUAAACUUGUUUAAUUCAUAUUUAAUUCAUUCUAACUCCGAAUUAACCUAUUCCAGUUUCUAUAAUUUUGUAAUAUAAUUGUUUAUCAUUUUGUGUCACUGUUUUGACAUGAAAGCCAUAUUAAAAUUGAUAUCCUAAUUAAUCUUGUACAAAGCACAUAGAAUCUUUAGAAAUCCAUAACUUAAAAUCUAUAACUCCAAAAUUAAUAAUUCAUGUUCAUGUUAUCUUAUUUCAAUAUGUAGAUUAUUAAUAUGUAUUUUGCAUAUAUGUUUGGUGUAAUGUUAAUUUUUCCUAUACAUUGUUUGUCUAUAUUGCUACGUUUAGCAGUGAGGACACGUGUCAUCUGAAAAGCAAGUUGGUACCUGAAAUCUCAAGUCCCAGGCAAGUUGUGCCCUUGACCACUUCUUUUUACCCACUCAUGUUCUAAUUAAUCAUAAUGAUCUGCAUAGGUUAAUUUUGAUGGGACCCAAUAGGUUACCCCAGUUUGACUAUCUUUAUGCCUUGUUUACCACUGAACUUUUGGGUAGUACUUGCUAGUGCUUUAUGUGGAUUUGGGCAUUGAGAUAUUCAUGAUUAUACUUUUAUUAUCAGUUGUUAUUUACUAUUCAUGAUAAGAUCAUUAUGUUAAUUGGAACAUGGAGAACCACCCGGGAAAACAGUGCUACCACAAGGGUUUAAUGGGACGCCCUUGGCUGAUUAAUUAGGAAAGCUAGUGGAUGACUACCUUACCCGAAAGGGGCAAGGGCAGUAGGGGAGUGGUCAGUGUAGGGAGGCCCUUGGGAUGAUUUUGCUGCGAUGGCGGUCAUGCGAGGGAUUCCUGCAUUGGAGCUUCCUAUAAACUGUAGCGGGUUUUCUGAAGCUAGUGGAACUUUGUAAAGGCCUCGUAGUGUUACCCUGCCUCGCCUCCUCGGUAGAGGUGUAUGGGAUUGGCCGUCUCUUGGCAGAUGGGUAACAUGACUUGUGGGUAAAGAUGCGCAACCUCUGCAGAGUGUAAAACUGGUAUACUAGCCGUGCUCACGGUCAAGAGCAGCUCGGACACUCACAUGAUUAAUCUAUGGAACUAAAUUCAAUUUGUCAUAUGCAUUGCAUCGCAGGUGAUGUUGUUAUUUUUGUUCUACUACUUAAUUGGGUUUGAUAUUUACUUAUACUUAGUAAUUGCUAAUAAAAUUUUGACCAACUUUAAAAGCAAUGCUCAGCUCUAACCAUCCUCUUUGGUAAGCCUUACACUUCACGUGAGCUCCCACCUUUGGCGAGUUCAUGCACAUUAUUCCCCACAACUUGUUGAGCGAUGAACGUAUGUGAGCUCACUCUUGCUGUCUCACACCCCCCCACAGGUCAAGAACAGGUACCGCAGGAUGAGGCGCAUGAAGGAUGCGGCUAUGUGUUCGUGAGAGGUCUAGGUCGCCGUCUCCCAGUCAACUUUGGGUUGCUGGACCGUUGUCUCCUUAUAAUGUAAUUAUUUAUUUUGUGCAAAAUUCCUGUUAUGUAGUAAAGAUGUGACAUUCGAUCCUGUGCCAUGAUUCAUCAUAUGUGUGAGACUUGGUCCCAGCACACCUGGUGAUUAUGUUCGCGCCCGGGUCUUGGUGCCCCGAAACCCGGGUGUGACAGAAGUGGUAUCAGAGGAAUGUUGACUGUAGGACGAAACCUAGAUAGAACUGGACAACCCUUACCUACUUACCUAUGCUACUCUGAUUCUUUUCUAAACUUAUCUUAAUAUUUUCUCAUCUAUUUCUGACUUACUCUGAUAAUUCCUACCUUUUCACUCUAAAGACCAAUGUGGAUUUCACAUUUUGAAAUCUUGUGCCUAAAGUGACCUUUAGGAAUAGGAGACCUACUCUUAGGAACAAAAUCAAAACUACUUUUAUUGUGAUUAUUCUGUAUGCUUAAAUGUUUGUUCUUGUGAUACAUGUCUAAUUUGGAUCUUUGAUUGAGUGCGAUGAGUUGUGGAGUAAUGUCCACAAUUAACAUGUGCAUAUACAUAUAGGCAUAAAUAUAAAUAAAUGAAAUUCAUAAGAUAACUAAACAACCUAGAUUAUCCAUUGGAAUAUAUCUAGCUUAAUAGAUCCAUCUUAUCUUAAAAGACUCUCUCUUAUUCCAAUAGAUUCAUCUUAUCAUGAAAGAUUUGUUUUAUCUUAACCACUAUAUUUAUCUCAUCCUAAAGUAACAACCAUGACCUAAUCCAAAAUAAUGAGAUCUUAACUAGUUUAAUCAAGUUGUACCAACCUAAUCUAGAUUCUAUCUAAUCUAUUAUGAUCUAAUCUAGAGUAAGUUACUUAAUAUUGGUACAAAGGAUAAAGCCAUACUCCAAAUCCACUUAAGCUUAAACUGGUGACCUAGAUCAACUCGGCCAUACCCAACAACUUGACCUACAUAACAGAUCUAUCUUAGCCUCUUGUCCCAAACCCGGAUGGAGACACCAGAGAGCAAGACUGGAAAAGGACAAGAUCAACCUUGUCAAGGAAGGAGAGAAGUCAAACUCGAUCUUCAGAUGCAUUACCACCCAACAAGGAGUCCUUUCUCACCGUAAACUUUCUUACUUAGGCUAUUCUUGCCCUAACCUAUCCAUCUCUUAUAUCAUGCAUAAUAAGUAGCUGGAUACCUAUGCUCUCUCAAUCACUCACCCACCAUUGACUACAUAAAAAAAACAAGACCCUGGAUUUUUAAACCAAUUAUAGACUAAAAGCCGAAUUACAGAAAUGCUUCUGUAUCCCUUUCUUGCAAAUCUCGAGGACGAGAUUUCUGUUAAGGGGGGUAGGAUUUGUAACGACCAAAAUCCUAUUCUAAGAUUUACAAAUAUUUUUUAUAAGGUUUAGGGUUAAAAGGUAUUUUAAUAUAAGAAUCCUCAUUUUUAAAUGUUAUUCUAAAAAAACUAAAAGCUUGGAACCAUAAACACAAGAAUGUUAUUUAUUUAUUAUUCUCUUUAUGAACUACAUAUACAAAUGCACUCCUUCAAAAAAUAAUAACUUAUGGGAAAAAUAUUGUGUGGGUUGCAUAAUUGGAUCAUUUUUUUAUUUUUUUAUUUGCAUGAAUAAAUGAAUAAAUUAAUUAUUAUAAAUUAUACCUGCAUCAUGUUGGGUUUGUUUGUGCAUUUAUUUUGAAUUUUAAAACUAAGAACUGAUUUGAAUUUGGAAUUGAAAUAAAAAAAACAGAAUAAAAAGCAAAAGAAAUAGAUUGCUUACCUGAGAAAUGGGCCGAAUUUCCCCUCCCUUAGCCCAGUCUGGUGCCCUCUCAGACUACCACGCGCUUGCUGGCGAGUCUCUGACAUCGUGGGCCAACCCGUCAGCGUUGUCUUCCCCGAGUAGGACUCCAACAGACCGCGUGAUUCCAGGCAACAAAAACAUACCCGACGCCGCUGCUAUCCCAUAAUAUUCGGGGGGGUGCACCGGCCAAACCCACAACGGAAUCCUAGGAGUCUGCCGCUCCCAUGACCCUGCCCAGGUACAUAUAAGAUGGCCCCUGCGCCCUCCCAUAAGCCAUCGGCGAGUAGAAGCACCAGUGAGCGUCGAUUGCUCGGAUUUAGGUGGGGGAUCAGGGGUGUUCAUCGGAGUACAUUGUACUUGGGGCUAGUUUUUUUCAAGCGUCUGGAACAAGCAGUGAAGGCCCGAUGUUUGGUUUGGGAAGGCCCCCUUCCGUGACAAUGGAAUUAGUGCAUGCUACUAGCGUUCGUCUGGAGUCCCUUAUACAAUGGUGGGUUCUGGAAACUGAGGUAAAUCUUUGACUGGCCUAGUUUCUGAUUCCAAAUUUUGUGCUCCCACCGCUUCUUGAUCCGUCGGGUGCCAAGGGCCUCUGUUGCGGCAAGUCGGCUGCAGUCCGGGAGCCGGCGGUAGCAGAGGUGAACAACAAAGCUGGGCGUUGGCCUGCCAGCGUCGCCGGUGAGGGUGUCUCAGACGCCCAAGCAGCCCAUGUUGCCCUUCUACUUACCGAGCCGCCCUCACCCUCCAGCUACAAGGGCUCGCCGCCGUACAAACUAAAGGCCGCCGCCGCUCUGUAAUUUAUGGGGAAGAAACGACUCCGUCCAUUGAUCUGGGAGGGACGAUGGGGAUUAGAUCCUAACGUUUUAAAAUCAUGAGCGUCCGAUUCUAAUCGAACGGUUGGGGGAAGUAGCUGAUACCCCUUCGCGGCUCAUGAUCUGGGUCAUCGGAUCUUGAUCCGGUGGUCUAUAUUUCAUACCGGUUCAUAAAGGUUAAAAUCUAAUCGCGACCAUUGGCUUUUGAUCGGGCGACCGAGGAUCGCGGAUACCCCUUCAGCCGAGCCAGAUUUACAAAUGAGCCCCCGCAGAAUCUCAUAAUUAACCCUCCAUCCUCGCGGGAGUAGUCUGAGUCUGGUAGAGUUUUAUAAAUUUAACCCUAGGCUCUCUGAUAUUAGUGUCCUCGGUCCAGAACACUUAGGAUAUUCAGAAAUUAAUAAAGAAAUAGGUUUUUAGUAUAAAAAUAAAUCCAUAAACUUGUUUAAUUCAUAUUUAAUUCAUUCUAACUCCGAAUUAACCCAUUCCAGUUUCUAUAAUUUUGUAAUAUAAUUGUUUAUCAUUUUGUGUCACUGUUUUGACAUGAAAGCCAUAUUAAAAUUGAUAUCCUAAUUAAUCUUGUACAAAGCACAUAGAAUCUUUAGAAAUCCAUAACUUAAAAUCUAUAACUCCAAAAUUAAUAAUUCAUGUUCCUGUUAUCUUAUUUCAAUAUGUAGAUUAUUAAUAUGUAUUUUGCAUAUAUGUUUGGUGUAAUGUUAAUUUUGCCUAUACACUAUUUGUCUAUAUUGCUACGUUUAGCAGUGAGGACACGUGUCAUCUGAAAAGCAAGUUGGUACCUGGAAUCUCAAGUCCCAGGCAAGUUGUGCCCUUGACCACUUCUUUUUACCCACUCAUGUUCUAAUUAAUCAUAAUGAUCUGCAUAGGUUAAUUUUGAUGGGACCCAAUAGGUUACCCCAGUUUGACUAUCUUUAUGCCUUGUUUACCACUGAACUUUUGGGUAGUACUUGCUAGUGCUUUAUGUGGAUUUGGGCAUUGAGAUAUUCAUGAUUAUACUUUUAUUAUCAGUUGUUAUUUACUAUUCAUGAUAAGAUCAUUAUGUUAAUUGGAACAUGGAGAACCACCCGGGAAAACAGUGCUACCACAAGGGUUUAAUGGGACGCCCUUGGCUGAUUAAUUAGGAAAGCUAGUGGAUGACUACCUUACCCGAAAGGGGCAAGGGCAGUAGAGGAGUGGUCAGUGUAGGGAGGCCCUUGGGAUGAUUUUGCUGUGAUGGCGGUCAUGCGAGGGAUUCUUGCAUUGGAGCUUCCUAUAAACUGUAGUGGGUUUUCUGAAGCUAGUGGAACUUUGUAAAGGCCUCGUAGUGUUACCCUGCCUCGCCUCCUCGGUAGAGGUGUAUGGGAUUGUCCGUCUCUUGGCAGAUGGGUAACAUGACUUGUGGGUAAAGAUGUGCAACCUCUACAGAGUGUAAAACUGGUAUACUAGCCGUGCUCACGGUCAAGAGCAGCUCGGACACUCACAUGAUUAAUCUAUGGAACUAAAUUCAAUUUGUCAUAUGCAUUGCAUCGCAGGUGAUGUUGUUAUUUUUGUUCUACUACUUAAUUGGGUUUGAUAUUUACUUAUACUUAGUAAUUGCUAAUAAAAUUUUGACCAACUUUAAAAGCAAUGCUCAGCUCUAACCAUCCUCUUUGGUAAGCCUUACACUUCACGUGAGCUCCCACCUUUGGCGAGUUCAUGCACAUUAUUCCCCACAACUUGUUGAGCGAUGAAUGUAUGUGAGCUCACUCUUGCUGUCUCACACCCCCCCCACAGGUCAAGAACAGGUACCGCAGGAUGAGGCGCUUGAAGGAUGUGGCUAUGUGUUCGUGAGAGGUCUAGGUCGCCGUCUCCCAGUCAACUUUGGGUUGCUGGACCGUUGUCUCCUUAUAAUGUAAUUAUUUAUUUUGUGCAAAGUUCCUGUUAUGUAGUAAAGAUGUGACAUUCGAUCCUGUGCCAUGAUUCAUCAUAUGUGUGAGACUUGGUCCCAGCACACCUAGUGAUUAUGUUCGCCCCCGGGUCUUGGUGCCCCGAAACCCGGGUGUGAUAGUAUGUUGUCCUAGGAAGCCUCAAAAGGGUAUGUUGUCCUAGGAAGCAUCAAUAGGGUAUGUUAUCUUAGGGUAUUUACAUUUUUAGGACUCGAGAAGACAGUCCUAGGGUAUGUUGUCCUAGGAAGCCUCAAAAGGGUAAGACUUACAAAGAUGGUAGUUUAGGCUAUUGCUAUGGAGUUAUUCUUAAAAAUGUAAAUAGCUAGGCUAGUUUAAAUAUGCUUCAUGCAAAUAAGCGUGCAAGCCUCAUCCUGAGCAGCUUCAACUAUGUUCUUAGGAUGGCAAGCUAGUACAGGCCUUACUAAGAGGCCUUCACAACUAGCAUGCAAGAUGAUGAAUACCUAACACACAUGCUAUUAAGGGUAUAAUGAGUGUAUUGUUGUAUUCCCCUCUAUAAGGAAAAUGGACCGCGACCCAUUUGCUUAAGUGAUUUUGGUGUUUGAUGAGUGAUGACCAACAUGACUUGUGGACUAAUGUGUUUGUUAGUGUUUAUGUUUAUAG